rnacentral:rRNA from 1 species
GACGAACGCUGGCGGCGUGCUUAACACAUGCAAGUCGAACGGAAAGGCCCUGCUUUUGUGGGGUGCUCGAGUGGCGAACGGGUGAGUAACACGUGAGUAACCUGCCCUUGACUUUGGGAUAACUUCAGGAAACUGGGGCUAAUACCGGAUAGGAGCUCCUGCUGCAUUGUGGGGGUUGGAAAGUUUCGGCGUUUGGGGAUGGACUCGCGGCUUAUCAGCUUGUUGGUGGGGUAGUGGCUUACCAAGGCUUUGACGGGUAGCCGGCCUGAGAGGGUGACCGGCCACAUUGGGACUGAGAUACGGCCCAGACUCCUACGGGAGGCAGCAGUGGGGAAUAUUGCACAAUGGGCGGAAGCCUGAUGCAGCAACGCCGCGUGCGGGAUGACGGCCUUCGGGUUGUAAACCGCUUUCGCCUGUGACGAAGCGUGAGUGACGGUAAUGGGUAAAGAAGCACCGGCUAACUACGUG